rnacentral:lncRNA from 1 species
ACAUUUUUCAUUUGUUCGACCUACUCCUAAAUCUUUAUAAACUGAUCAUCAUUUAUGAUUUCUUGAAAUGGCAGAAAAACACCGAAAACAUAAAGACCAUAAUAACCAUAGCAGGAAGACUUUAUCUGGAUUUAUUUCUUAUGAUGCAUGCACCUGAAGAACCACAGCUGAAAAACCAGGCUCCCACUCCAGGAUACUACAGGGGUCCCUGCUGUGACAUAUGCAGACCAAUUGCAUAUCUGCAGGAGCACGAGAGAGCCACUCAUGCUGUAUCCAAGGAGCUGGGUUUCAAGGGCAAGCUGAAGGACAAGUGGUUCAGCAAAGCUUCUGCCCCCAGGCAUGCAGAGGACUUCAGAAGAGGUGUGAAGCCUGGUGUGGGGACACCAGAUUGUGCCACGGCAGUCACAGCCUACAUUUUGUGAAAAAAAACCUCAACUCAGUGUUUCUGGUUCAUGAGGAUCAGUUCCAAAUUUGUGUUUGUGGCUGAAACAUGUUAGUUUAAAUUUUAUGUAUGUUUCUUCUGUACAUAAGGCUGUAUUGCAUUUACACCAUGAAGCUGCACAGUCUUUGGUGGUGUCUCUCCCUGCCCUGGAUUCCCUUUAGUCAAUAGCCAGCUGUAGGUGCCUGUCCUUUCUAGGAAAAUCAACCUAGCAGGAUCUAAAGGCAGAUCUGAGUUUAUCUUGCUUUGACCUGGCGCUCAAUAGGUCUCAACAGAUUUUAACAGGCAGUUUUGUGAAAGUUUCUGCUAGAGAUGGAGGCCAACUGAAAUGGGGAAGCAGCUGGUGAUGGCAGGCUAAACUGAGUACCAACAGGAACGCAUGAGCACCAGGUUCAAAAGGAUCUGCUCUAAGAAUUGUGUUUCCAUUCUGUAGAAUUAGAGGUUAACAACCAGUAUAAUAUUGUUUUGCACAGAGGAACAGAGUCAAAUACUCUCACUUUCCACAGUAGUAGGUACUCCAUGCAAGAAUCUGCACUAAUGAAAGGAAGUGAUUGUGCCAUAUAAUAAUGAAAAUUUCAGUUAAAACGAUUAACUUCAGGAAACAACAAAGACCCUGAAGUAAUAUUUUGGGAAAAUAUUUCCAUUUAAAACUAAUGAUGGGGCAAGGCAGGACCAAGAACAGUGGAAAAUCAUGACUGAGGGGACCUGAAAGAACGGAAAUGAGCUUGAGAAAAAUAAAUCAAACUGCAAUGGGACCUCUUAGAGUGAGGCAAGCCAUGAGAUCUCAGGCAGAUAAUGCCAUUCUUAAGUGCUGUGAUACAUCGACUUCUGCGAAAGAGCUUAUCUAGCAGUAUGCUGGAGCCUGUGGCUACGCUCAUAUCAGGAAGUUGUGAGGAGCAAUGGAAGUACAUCUGCAGGGCAAACCAGGUGAUGCUUAGAGUCCAAUAUCUUCACUCUACAAAUUUCUGGGGUUUUAAAUCACCAUUUUCUUUCAGACAAGCUCCAAGCGUGGUCUCGUGAACUGGUUGCUAGCUGCUUGUUUGUAACCAAGGUUCAGUAAAGGUGUUCCUGGAAUGCAUCCAGCCAGUUUCAUACAAAAAUUACUCCAUUCAUGCAUACCUUGAUGUGUGAGUCCUUCUUUGAAGCAAACCAAAACACAGGAUAGGAAGAUGGUUGGGAAUUUCUCUCCUAAAGAGUAUUCACCAUCUGAGAUGGCACACUGAGGUAUGAUGCAGCUACUGGUUCAAGAAAUCUCUCUCAGACCUAAGCUGUUAAUUGUUUACCUUUCACUAAAGACAAGAUUCAGGAUCUCUUAAGUCAAUUUAGUAAAUCUCUGCUCACUCAAACAGACUUUUCAGCUUCAAUGAAGGUACUCAUGUGAAUUAAAUAUUAAUCUGUGAACAUAGUGGUUGCUGAUUUAAUCCAAUCAGGUUAUACUCUCUGGUUGUUUAUGCAGCAAUUUGUUUAAAAGGGACAUAGAAGUUUUGUUUAGACUGCUUUUGGGAUCAGAACUGGGUUUAGUUUUAGGAAUUAUAGGCUUGUCCCUUCAAAUUCUUACUACUGAUCUUGCAAGCUUAAUUCUCCAAGACACUGGUCGCUCUGGCCUUUCUCCAGCUAAACACUCGGGCUGCUGGUUAACUUUUAAGCCUGGAAACAAUACUUCCAUACUGAGCAGACUCCUUGAGCUUGUACUGAGCACCCACUCCAGGGGUCUUCGUGGGUGAACGGUAAGUGUUUCCAGGGUUGGUCCCAGUUUCUCCGAGGGCAAAGUUGUUUGAGAGUUUAGUAAGCACCAAGAAAAGUUUUGCUGUGACAUUUUUCAAGUAUUGUGAAAAUCCUGUUAACCACUCACUAGUGUGCUAUAUUUGUGUUAUCUUGGAGCGGAUACGUUUCUCACUUACUGGAACUUUAACAGCUAAUAAAAAUAGAACUUCUGAACUUUC